GACGUAACGCUGGGCGGCGUGCCUAACACAUGCAAGUCGAACGGGGUAAAGAGCGUUCGGUUUUUUACUUAGUGGCGAACGGGUGAGUAACGCGUGAGAAACCUGCCUUUCAGUGGGGGGACAACAGUUGGAGACGACUGCUAAUACCGCGUAAUGUAUUUUGGGGGCAUCCCCGAGAUACCAAAGCUUUAUGUGCUGAAAGAUGGUCUCGCGUCUGAUUAGCUGGAUGGCGGGGUAACGGCCCACCAUGGCGACGAUCAGUAGCCGGUCUGAGAGGAUGAACGGCCACAUUGGGACUGAGAUACGGCCCAG
rnacentral:rRNA from 1 species